rnacentral:rRNA from 1 species
GAUGAACGCUGGCGGCGUGCUUAAUACAUGCAAGUCGAGCGAACAGACGAUGAGCUUGCUCCUCGCACGUUAGCGGAGGACGGGUGAGUAACACGUGGAUAACCUACCUAUAUUACUGGGAUAACUUCGGGAAACCGGAGCAAAUACCGUAUAAUAUACUGAACCGUAUGGUGCAAUAGUGAAAGACGGUUUUUCGGUCACGUUGAGAUGGAUCCGCGCCGUAUCAGCGUGUUGGUGAGGUAACGGCUUACGAAGGCAACGAUGCGUAGCAGACCUGAGAGGUUGAACGGCCACAGUGGGACUGAGGGACGGCCCAGACUCCUACGGGAGGCAGCAGUGGGGAAUAUGGCACAAUGGGCGGAAGCCGGAUACAGCAACGCCGCGUGCGGGAUGACGGCCUUCGGGUUGUAAACCGCUGUCGCCUGAGACGAAGCGUGAGUGACGGUAAUGGGUAAAGAAGCACCGGCUAACUACGUG